rnacentral:rRNA from 1 species
UUUUUAAUUGGAAUCUUGUAUGAAUGAUUGGACAAGAGAAAUACUGUCUUUGUAUUAAAACUUGAAUUUAACUUUUAAGUGAAAAGGCUUAAAUACACUAAAGGGACGAUAAGACCCUAUAAAACUUUACAUUUAUGUUAAAUUUUAUGGAAUUUGAAGAUUAUAAUUAUUAAAUUUAAUUUUUUGUUAUGUUGGGGAGACAAAAGCUAUAAUUAUAUAUAACUGCUUUUAAGGGAAACAAAAAUAAGUGAGGAAGGUUAGAGAUCCUUUAUUGAGAUUAUAAGAUUAAGUUACUUUAGGGAUAACAGCGUUAUUUUUUUUGAGAGUUCAUAUUGAAAAAAAAGAUUGCGACCUCGAUGUUGAAUUAAAAUAUCUUUAUAAUGCAGGUGUUAUAAAAGAAGGUCUGUUCGACCUUUAAUUUU